rnacentral:lncRNA from 1 species
ACAUGCAGGCGUCGAGAUUGGUUUUUGCGUCGUCUGCAAUAUCAAAGACAAGUCGAUUUCUUUCUUACUUUAGAAUUUAGAUAACAUUUUCUUCGUUUGACUUAACUGUGUAUACUCUUUUUGGUGCCCAUAAAUUACCUUACUGUUAGACAUAUUUGGAAGACUAGAUAGUAAACAAUCAAGGUGACAUUUGAGGAAUUGUCCGACCCGCAGUAGGGCUUUUCCAUGGAAUUCGAUCGCUUCAAUCACGUUGCUGAACGACAGCCCUGCCAAACUCCUUUUUCUGUAGAAGUUGGCAUACAUUUUACUGAUGGUUACCCAGCUCAUUCAUUAUUCGGGAAAAUCAAGAUUUGAAAACCGAAAGCUUAUUCUCAAAAAUUGUGUUCGGCAAUUGUCUUUUCUCUUCUUUCACUGAAUGGAAAAUUGUCGUUUGCUGCAAAAUAUUUGUCUGCUGCCAAUUCUCGGUCUUUUUAUUUUGUGUUCUGGUCUGGACAUUUUUUUUCUAGAAUAUCGGCUUUGCAGUCAGCGUAAUUUCCUUGAAAACGUGGUCACUAAUUUGUAACUCAUCGAACGAAAAUAGAUCUAGAUUUGUGCGAAAAAUGAAAUACAGGAUUCUCCUAAUCACAAUGCCAUCUAGUGGCGAAAAACUCGGAUCAAAUGAAUGAAUACAGCGAUUCCGUUUCCGUCUCGACGUCUCCGGUUGUUAUUUCUGAGUAACACCUUGGAUAGAUAGAAGGUCAUACCAAUUGCUCCGUGAAUUCCACGGGGCGUAAGGUGUGACUAUCAUAGAAUGGAAUUGAAUGGAAGUAUACAUAAGGACUCCUACAGAUUUCAAAUUAGCUGUCAUAUGCAGCUGGAUACCUAAAAGGUUUAUUUACAAGGAUAGUUAUGGUAACACAAAUUCUCAACCAUCAUUUCAUCAACUUUUAAUUAGAGGAUAAGAAAUUUCCUGUUAGGCAACAUUGGUGUAGUGAGUAAACAUUAAAAUGCUGGUGAAGAAUUGUGAUAAGCCUUAAUUGAUUUUGAGGCAAACCAUCAUUAGGCAGCGGAAUUUGCUUGAGUAAACAUUUGGGUUUCUCAUCGUUACCAAGCGUUAGUGCUGAUGUGAACUGUAUCUGCAUUGGUGAGUGAAGACACAAUCACAUUUACAGUGUAGCGCAUGUGGGUAUAUGUUGUUCUGUCUGAAUUUACUUUAUGGUAGACACUAGCCACUGCGUUUUUGCAAUUUUAGAGUUAGUCUAUUUCCUUUUUCAAUUUCAUUUUUUCACCUGUGCAGGAAUAUCAGUUUUUUUUAUUAGUUUAAACCCCAUACUGUGUGUUGGUUUAAAAGUCUUACACAGGCUGACGUUACAAGAGCAAUUUAUGGCAUUCAGCUACCUGUCCCAGGACAGCAAAAUGUUGACCUUUGUUCCUGAUGUAAAAAGUGCCAUCUGAAACAUAUCAGGCAGCCUAGGCUCCCAUAUGAAACCAAAACCAAGUAACGUCCAUCUAGAAGGCAAACAUACACAUACAGUAUUUUCUUAGCUGUAGUGAGCGGUAAAAGUGACCGAAAAGGUUUAGGAAGGAAAUGGUGUUGUGCCUGAUAUGUGAUAUCACAACUGACAAGACAAAAUAAUCGUAAUGAAUCAGGAGAGAAUAUCGAUGGAGACUUAUUGGGAAAAAAAAUUAUAUUAGGUAAGGGUUACUGAAGAUUUCCAGAUUCUUUUGUAUUCUCGUAUAUUAUGAUAUUUUUACACAAAAAAAUGAAGUGGGGCAAAAAGACUCCCUUCUUUAUCGUGUCCCCGUUUCCCCUUGACUUGUAAUAAACCCGUAGUCAUGCCGCUAAUAUGAUCAGCAGCAAAGGUUGUGCGUGCGCUGUCCGAAAAGCGCAAUGAUAUUAAUGGAGGACUAGUCGCUACCCAAAAAUUCCAAUCAAAGGUUUACCGCUAGAUGUCUAUGCAUUUUAAUGGCAAUGGGGGCCAUGGCUUUGGCCUUGGUCAGCUGUUUUUGUUCUGUUAUUCCUUGCGUGGUAACGUUAACAGGUGGUCUUUCAUCGCAAAUUGAUGGUAAUAUUGCAUCUGUAUUAAAAUAAUCGUAGCGUUUACAAAGUUUUAGUUGCCAAAAGGUUUUAAAAAAAAAUGUGCAGUGUGAUGAGUGGCGUACAGGUGCGAUCACAUUAAAUACACCAUCACUUGGAA